GUCUACAGCCAUACCACCCUGAAUGCGCCCAAUCUCGUCUGAUCUUGGAAGCUAAGCAGGGUCGGGCCUGGUUAGUACUUGGAUGGGGGACCGCCUGGGAAUAUUGGGUGCUGUAGGCU
rnacentral:rRNA from 1 species